GACGAACGCUGGCGGCGUGCUUAACACAUGCAAGUCGAACGGAAAGGCUCCAGCUUGCUGGAGUCCUCGAGUGGCGAACGGGUGAGUAACACGUGGGUAAUCUGCCCUGCACUCUGGGAUAAGCCUGGGAAACUGGGUCUAAUACUGGAUAUGACCUUUCUCCUUAUGGGGUUUGGUGGAAAGUUUUUCGGUGUAGGAUGAGCCCGCGGCCUAUCAGCUUGUUGGUGGGGUGACGGCCUACCAAGGCGACGACGGGUAGCCGGCCUGAGAGGGUGAUCGGCCACAUUGGGACUGAGAUACGGCCCAGACUCCUACGGGAGGCAGCAGUGGGGAAUAUUGCACAAUGGGCGGAAGCCUGAUGCAGCGACGCCGCGUGAGGGAUGACGGCCUUCGGGUUGUAAACCUCUUUCAGCAGGGACGAAGCGUAAGUGACGGUACCUGCAGAAGAAGCACCGGCUAACUAUGUG
rnacentral:rRNA from 1 species